UAGGGAAUAUUGCUCAAUGGGGGAAACCCUGAAGCAGCAACGCCGCGUGGAGGAUGAAGGUUUUCGGAUUGUAAACUCCUUUUGUUAGAGAAGAUAAUGACGGUAUCUAACGAAUAAGCACCGGCUAACUCCGUGCCAGCAGCCGCGGUAAUACGGAGGGUGCAAGCGUUACUCGGAAUCACUGGGCGUAAAGAGCGCGUAGGCGGGAUAGCAAGUCAGAUGUGAAAUCCUAUGGCUUAACCAUAGAACUGCAUUUGAAACUGUUAUUCUAGAGUAUGGGAGA
rnacentral:rRNA from 1 species